AAUACAAAAUAUCUAAACACGCUUGUGUGUAUAUUUAAAAGUGUGUUGCUGUCGUUUAACCUAUGUCAAUCCUGAUCGGGUAGAAUUUCGAUCAAGGGCAUUCAGUCGUGACCACCCCUCUAGUGGUAGAGGUGGUGGUGGUGGUCUUUUUUCCUAUCUACAGGAUACACUCAACAUAAUUCUCCAACGUGUCGUUUUCUAAGGCAGUGGGGGAGGGAGCGUUCUGAGGUAGAUUUAGCUGCUAUUACUACAUACGUAGAUACUCCCUCGCGGGCCUCACCAGUGAGGUCACCAUGUAAGUGACAAGACUAAAGAAGCCUUUUGACCAAGUGGGAGAAUAAUUGAGAAGGAGACGCUUGGUGUAAUGAUAAAUGGGACAGGAAUAGAUUGGUUACAGGAGAAGAGGGAAGCUGCACGUAUAACAGAUAACUUAGAAGCAGCGCCACAGAUGUACCAACACACACGAGAUUGAAACAUAGCUGACCUCACUCACUUCUCAUGAGGAAUUCCGGAAGAAGCUUCGUGAUACCACUACUGAGACAUUUCCGAUAAAAGAAAAGCCAUUGGAAAGUCGAUUAUAGCAGCGACUCCAUCUAAGAAUAUCUGAAGAAGGAAUUGUAUUCCGAAAUAUCAUCGGACUAUAGAUAACUAAAUUACAACAGCUGCUAUGUUCCAACCAUGAACUCAAAUGAAGCAGUCAAAGAGCAGUUCUACUCUGAGCUAUGUAGCCAGUUGAGAGGUGUCUCUAUCCAUGAUAAACUUCUUCUCAUUGGUGAUUUCAGUGCAUGCAUAUGUUGUGAUAUAUUCAUAUGGGGUGAUGUAAUAGGGAAGCAUGGGGUUGGCGAAGCAAACUAAAAUGGUCAUCUGCUGCUAUUGCUUUGCACCCUGAAAACCACCCAAAAAUCAUUUUUUUAUGAGUUUUGAAAUGCAGUUACAAAGAAAAUGACAAUUUUAGAAACAUAAAAGAGAAUACAAAAGAAAUAUGUAAACUGGUUUUAUUAACUGAAUUACUUUAAAGAUGGAACAAUUUGUGCACAAGGAAGAUGAUGGAGUGGGGAGGAAGACGAUUAUUGUUUGGAAGGAGAAUCUCCUGCAAUUAAGACUUCAGGAAGAACAGUCUCUCGCAUUUUCUCUCCCACUUCACUUAAUUUAGGCUUCUUGGACACACUUUCUUCACUUUUCCCAUUUUCAGGUUGUUUUAUUAGAAACAUAUCAAGAUAAAUCUGAUUUUUCCUGCCUUUCAAAAUGUUAUGAAAAUUCACCAGAGCAUUUGUCACUAAAUAAAGCAGCUGCACGACCCGUAGAUAC